CGGCACUGGGCCCCGGAGCCCCGGGCCAGUGUCCUGAGGGGCAUUCAGGACCCUUGGCGGGGCCACCCUGCGCAGGCUGCCACUUCAGAGGGUGUGGACGGAGACCCCUUGGGCAGGGCCACUGGGCCCCCGGAGAGCACGUCGGAGGACAGUGACAUCAACAUCACCAGCGAGGACGAGGACUCCCGGGAGCAGCCUGCCCGGGACCCCUGCGGCCCCAGGGAGAAGGACAUUGGUGGCCACGUCCCACAGGCCCUCCCUGAGAGCCAGGCGGUGCCACCAGAGGGCCCCUGCUGCUACAUCUGUGGGUCUGCGCUGUCGCCGGCCUCCCAGCACGAGGUCCACGUGCACAAGCAGGAGCGCCUGCCGCAGGCGCCCUUCUUCCCCUUCCUGUGGCUGCACAGCCCGCCGCCCGGCGCCCGGCCCAUCAGCGAGGCGGGCAGCACGCUCGUGUGUCCCUGCUGCUUCUCGUCCCUCCGGCAGCAGUGGCAGAGCUUCGAGCUGGCCGGGGUGCCCGUGCUGCAGCGCCUCUACGUGGUGCCCCUGAGCAGCCGUGCCCCCGGCAUGGCCUCCAAGGGCAGGCGGCCCCCCAGGGAGGAGGCCACGACCGGCUCCACCCUGCCCGAGGCCUGCUACCUGUGCGGAGAGGACUGCACCCCGGAUGCCCGGGCCGUGCCCUCCCGUGUCCUCAACGGCAGCACGCGUGGCACCAUGCACUUCCCGUUCCUCAGCCUCCUGCCCUGCCCGCCCAACGCCCGCGCCCCCAACAAGCGCUCUGAGGUGCGAAGCUGCCCCAAGUGCUUCAGCGUCCUGGAGGACGUGUGGGCCCUGUACCGGGCCUGCCAGAACCAGGAGCUCAUCACCUCCGUGCAGGGCUUUCUGGGCCGCUACCACCAGGCCUUCGCAGCCUCCGACCCGGCCGUCUGCGACCCGCCUGCCCCGGCCCCCGGUGGCCCGGCCUCCGUGUGCUACAUCUGUGGGGCGGAGCUGGGCCCUGGCAAGGAGUUCCAGCUCAACGUGAACCCCGCCAGUCGCCUGGGCGAGAAGGAGCCCUUCUUCCCCUUCCUGACAGUGUACCCGCCCGCACCACGUGCCAGGCCCGCCGACGCCACCGGCCUGGUGGCCACCUGCGUGCUCUGCUACCAUGACCUCCUGGGCCAGUGGCUACAGCAUGAGGCCCAGGGUGCCCACCACGCUGUCAGUGCCUGGUCCCGGCAGUACCAGGUGGACACCUUCGUGUGCUUCUUCUGCCAGCAGGAAAAGCGGCGCUGUCUGGGGCUGAAGUCCGUGCGGGUAGCCCGCCUGCCCCUCUUCCUCUACACCCUGCGAGCCAGCCACAGCCUGCUGGUGGACGAUGGGCGGCAGCUGAUCAUCGGCGCCUGCCUGGAGUGUGGGACCCUGGUGUGUGCAGGCCAAGGGAUCACUCGCCCCGGGCCCAUGGGGUGGAGCUCCCCAGUGACCACAGCAAGAAAGAGCGGAGUCCCCACCUGGCCAGCUGCUUGGAGAUGACAGCACCUUCUGCCCAGGGUGAUGGGAGUGCGUGGGUGCCCGUGCUCUGGAUGGGGAGACUGAGGCUGCAGGAGGCCUACAGUGGGCCGUGCUGCUGGCAGGUGACGGGCGGGCUGAGCGGUUCUGAAGCCGGACUUCAUCACUGCUCUCCUGAGCCCUGCACAGGGUCGGUGCCAGGCGCUGUGGAAUGGAGCCGAGGUAGCCCUGGAGAGAGCGGGUGACAUUCAGGACUCAGAACGAGGGCCCCAGAAUGCCCCAAUCUGGGCCUCCCCGGUGCCUGCGACCACCCCUGCCCAAACCCAGCCAGGCCACUGACCUUGGGGAGGCCGGACCCAGUCACCAGGGGCAGUGCUGGGGGAGCAGAGCCUCUGUCACCCGUCCCUGGACCCCAGUGCCCGUUGGAGGUGAAGGGGUAUCUGGGAGUAUGGGCACGUGACUUGGGACGGACCCUGUCCCCGGGGGACACCACUGGCCGGCUGGCCCCAUCUGUGGGACUCGGGGCUUGGAGACAGAGCUGCUCUGUGACUGUCGGCUGGUGUCACUGUGACUGUUCACCGCCUUCCUGGGUUGGUCGGGGCCGUUGUACUGGGAGCUGUCCUGGGGACCUCACAGGCAGGGCAGCUGGACCUUGUGGGGGACAGGAACAGCUGGAGGGUCUGCCUCUCAGGUUGGGACAGCUGGGAGCCAGAUUCUGGGGGUCACAGCCCCCACUCGCCCCUCAUCUCCUUAGUGAUCAUGGAGCCGCUUAGAAUGUGUGCCCUCGGGGGGAAGGAGGGACCCCGACACCCAGCGCCAGUGACAGCCCCGCUUUCUCAGCGAGGCUCCGAGCUCUGUGUCUGCCUGCCCGUGAUUCUGUUUGCCCCACGCCGGGCGCAGCCGAGGCCCCUGGGGAUGUGGCUCUGUGCCGGCCCCGUGUGUGCAUCUGUCUCACCAGCCUGAGGGCGCAGCAGCAAGGGUGGCGUUGUUACCCAGGGAUCGCCGGCCGGGAGCCCUGGCCACCAGACUGACCUCUCAGUAAAGAAUAGCCAGUGAUGGGUUAGAACGGCCAACGGCUCUGUGGAUAAGACCCAUUGGAGGGCACAGCGCUGGAGCCCCAAGAUCAAACCAGGCAGCUUUGAAAACAUUGGUGAACCUGCUCCAAGCCAGGGCGCGGUGACACAGGCCGGUGAGCCCAGUACUGUGGGAGGCUG
ensembl:lincRNA